AGCAGUCGCCGCGGUAAUACGUAGGUGGCAAGCGUUGUCCGGAUUUACUGGGCGUAAAGGGCGCGUAGGCGGACUAAUAAGUCAGGGGUGAAAUCCCAAGGCUCAACCUUGGAACUGCCUUUGAUACUGUUUGUCUUGAGUUCAAGAGAGGUAAGUGGAACUGCGAGUGUAGAGGUGAAAUUCGUAGAUAUUCGCAAGAACACCAGUGGCGAAGGCGGCUUACUGGCUCGAAACUGACGCUGAGGCGCGAAAGCGUGGGGAGCAAACAGGAUUAGAUACCCCCGUAGUCCCUGUCUCUUAUAC
rnacentral:rRNA from 1 species